rnacentral:rRNA from 1 species
UACGUAGGGCGCAAGCGUUGUCCGGAAUUAUUGGGCGUAAAGAGCUCGUAGGCGGUGUGUCGCGUCGGCCGUGAAAACCUGGGGCUUAACUCUGGGCGUGCGGUCGAUACGGGCAUCACUAGAGUUCGGCAGGGGAGACUGGAAUUCCUGGUGUAGCGGUGAAAUGCGCAGAUAUCAGGAGGAACACCGGUGGCGAAGGCGGGUCUCUGGGCCGAUACUGACGCUGAGGAGCGAAAGCAUGGGUAGCGAACAGG